rnacentral:rRNA from 1 species
GCAGUCGAACGGACCCUUCGGGGUUAGUGGCGGACGGGUGAGUAACACGUGGGAACGUGCCUUUAGGUUCGGAAUAGCUCCUGGAAACGGGUGGUAAUGCCGAAUGUGCCCUUCGGGGGAAAGAUUUAUCGCCUUUAGAGCGGCCCGCGUCUGAUUAGCUAGUUGGUAAGGUAAAAGCUUACCAAGGCGACGAUCAGUAGCUGGUCUGAGAGGAUGACCAGCCACAUUGGGACUGAGACACGGCCCAAACUCCUACGGGAGGCAGCAGUGGGGAAUCUUGCGCAAUGGGCGAAAGCCUGACGCAGCCAUGCCGCGUGAAUGAUGAAGGUCUUAGGAUUGUAAAAUUCUUUCACCGGGGACGAUAAUGACGGUACCCGGAGAAGAAGCCCCGGCUAACUUCGUGCCAGCAGCCGCGGUAAUACGAAGGGGGCUAGCGUUGCUCGGAAUUACUGGGCGUAAAGGGCGCGUAGGCGGAUCGUUAAGUCAGAGGUGAAAUCCCGGAGCUCAACUUCGGAACUGCCUUUGAUACUGGCGAUCUUGAGUAUGAGAGAGGUAUGUGGAACUCCGAGUGUAGAGGUGAAAUUCGUAGAUAUUCGGAAGAACACCAGUGGCGAAGGCGACAUACUGGCUCAUUACUGACGCUGAGGCGCGAAAGCGUGGGGAGCAAACAGGAUUAGAUACCCUGGUAGUCCACGCCGUACACGAUGAUUGCUAGUUGUCGGGCUGCAUGCAGUUCGGUGA